AUUGAACGCUGGCGGCGUGCCUAAUACAUGCAAGUCGAACGAUCCGCCUUUGGCGGAUAGUGGCGAACGGGUGAGUAACACGUUGGUACCUACCCCGAAGUGGGGAAUAACUGCCCGAAAGGGUGGCUAAUACCGCAUAAUACCGCAAGGUUAAAGCAGUAAUGCGCUUCGGGAGGGGCCUGCGUCCCAUUAGCUAGUUGGUAGGGUAAUGGCCUACCAAGGCGACGAUGGGUAGCUGGAUCGAGAGGUUGACCAGCCACACUGGGACUGAGAUACGGCCCAGACUCCUACGGGAGGCAGCAGUAAGGAAUCUUCCACAAUGGACGAAAGUCUGAUGGAGCAACGCCGCGUGCAGGAUGACGGCCUUCGGGUUGUAAACUGCUUUUAUAUGGGAAGAUUAUGACGGUACCAUAUGAAUAAGGACCGGCUAACUACGUGCCAGCCGCCGCAGUAA
rnacentral:rRNA from 1 species